rnacentral:tRNA from 1 species
GGUGACGUAGCUCAGUUGGUAGAGCAAAGGACUGAAAAUCCUUGUGUCGGGGGUUCAACUCCCUCCGUCACCA